UCGAGAAUAAUUCACAAUGGGGGCAACCCUGAUGGUGCAACGCCGCGUGGAGGAUGACGGUCUUCGGAUUGUAAACUCCUGUCAUCUGGGAGUAAGGCAUGGUUGUUAAUAGCAAACAUGAUUGAUAGUACCAGAAGAGGAAGGGACGGCUAACUUCGUGCCAGCAGCCGCGGUAAUACGAAGGUCCCAAGCGUUGUUCGGAAUCACUGGGCGUAAAGGGAGCGUAGGCGGCGUGGUAAGUCAGAUGUG
rnacentral:rRNA from 1 species